CCCCAUCUGUCUAGCAUUUCUCUCUACCUC
rnacentral:piRNA from 1 species